CAGAGAGACACUGCAGCCGCAGCCAUGACCAGCAGCAUGUGAAGACGCUGUCUUCAAAACAGGAUAUUACACACAGAGAAUGGAGGCUGGAGAGUCCCUGGUCUAACCUGAGAACAACUGCUAGUUCUAAAAAUGUGGAUUUGUGGUAAGGAGAACCUGGCACCUUUGAGAGAAGGGUGGGCCCAGCUCACAAGUCCUGCCUGGGUUUGGACCUGUCCUACUGUACGAACAGUGAGAUGUCACUGCACUUCCUGUUUGGCUGAGGUACUGGGGAGAUGCUGGCCCUCGCAGAGAUCACGCAGGACUUGGUCACGGAAAGCAAGUAAUGAAACCAGCUCCGAAUAAGGAAAAUCAAAGGUGUGUACACGCAAGGAGAAACACCAGCCAGGAAGUGAGGAAGGAAAGAUACAGGCGAUCAACUCUUCAUCCUGGACCUAUGAAGACGAUGGUGCUAAGAAAAAAACGGGUAUUUGACCAUGUGCUCUAGUUAAAGUGUGGCCACAGGCUUCCUAAUAUAGUGGCUGGUGUGAAGAUGGAGGCAGAGGUUGGAGUUACCAUGCCCUGUACCAGCUGCUGGAAAUCAACAACAGCCAGAGAGGCUUCGAUCAUCGAGGCUUCGGACGGACAUGUGUCUGCCAACUUGAUUUAGAUGUUCUAGCCUCUAGAAGCAAAUCCAUGUUUGUUCUCUGGCGAUAUUCAGUUGGAGGCACUUUGCUGUGGUAGCUAAGAGUCCUCAGAGUUCCACCUAGUCACGUCUGAGGAAGAUGCCAGAACUGCCCCUGGGGCGGUCAGUCACUUUCCUCAGGAUGAUAUCCCUAUUUACCUCACUUCCUGUUUUUAGACAGGAGUGUCUACCUGUCUGAAGUGGGGGGUCACACACCUAAUCUAGACCUGCUGACAAGAGGAGAGAAGGCACCAGUCUGGCCUUUCAGGGUGGGGGUGGGGGUGGGGGUGACACAGCCGGCCUUGGUAGGUAAGCAGCUUCAGGUCCUUGGCGAGGAAAACAAGCCCACAGACAAACACAAACCCGAAAACUAUGUCCCCGCAACAGAUAUAUUAGUUAUGCUUCUUCUCACCAUGACAAAAUACCCAAUAGAAUACCCGAGAGAAGCACCUUAAGGAGGUAAGGGCCUGUUUAUGCUCUCAGUUCCAGGGGAUUCGUCCAUCAUGGUGGAGGAGGUGUGGCAGCGAGGGUAGGGACGCAAGGUCACAUUCUAUCCUACCAGGAAGCAGAGGAUGAUAGGGGCUUGAUCAGUGUGCCUUCUCCUCUCUAGUCCAUUCCAUGGAAUGAUACCACCCACAUUGAGGGGGCACCUUCUCCCUCAAUUAGCCUAAUGUAAAUCCCUCACAGCUGUGCCCCGAGACUCAAUUUUAUGAUGAUUCUAAAUCUCAUCCAGUUGACAGUCAGAAUUAAUCGUCACAACGUAAACAUGCAAGAAAGAAGCAGUUUAAACAUGGGAUAGACGGCAGAUAGUAAAAGCGAGGUUGAAGUUUGCAGAUAAUUUUUUUUUUUGACACACACUAGAGAGAUUACAAGCUUUUUGUUGUUUUCAGGUCCCUGCUAGAAGGCCAGGACUGUAUAGGUUUCCAUUAGGGACCUAAGGAAAGCCAUUGAUUGCCCAGACAUCUCUGCAAAAGACGAGGCAGGGAUGUGUUAAUGCAGAUGCUGUGCCUCCACAAGCCUGGGUAGACCCUGAGAGGGCCAGGGGCCCAGCACUGCACCGAGAGAGUGUGACUGACUCCAGAGCAGGCUCUGGGGCCGAGCCUCGGCUCCUCUGCUUCUCACUGGGCCUUGGUGAUAACUUUAUCUUUUGAAGUCUCAGUUUCCCCUCUAGCCAAAUGGGGCUAAUAAUAGUGAUAUCGCAGGGUUUCUGCAGGGUUGAAAUGACUUGCAUCCCAGAAGCACUUCACCCAAGCCUGGCUUGCAGGAAGUGUGCAGUGUCAGCCGCAUCCCUUCCUGAGUGCUGAGCUUCGGAAAGAUUAUCUUUAUCUCUUUUGGACUAUUAUUUCAAAGCACAGAACUCAUUAAAACCCAAAAGCUGUAACCAGAGAACAGAAGUUUUCUUUUUAACACUUUUCUUUUACCGUGUGCUGGGAUUGAGGGUAGCUUAAGCGUGUUCUCC